CAAUGGCGUGAUCUCGGCUCACUGCAACUUUCGUCUCCUGGGUUCAAGCGAUUCUCCUGUUUCAGCCUCCCCAAGUGCUGGGAUUACAGGCGUCUGCCACCAUGCCCAGCUAAUUUUUGUAUUUUUAGUAGAGACGGGGUUUCACCAUGUCGGCCAGGCUGGUCUUGAACUCCUGACUUCAGGUGAUCUGCCUGCCUCAGCCUCCCAAAGUGCUGGGAUUACAGGCGUGAACCACAGCGCCCGGCCUCUUUUACCUCUGAGUGUGUCAGUACUCCAGUGUGUAUCUCCUAAAAGCAAGACUAUUUUGUUACAUAAGUGUAGUACACUUUUCAAAAUCAGGGAACUAACACUGAUAUAACCCUGUAAUCACUAGACCUCCUUCCUGUUUCACUGCCUGUCCCCAUAAUGUCCUUUAUGGCAAAAGAAAACGUCAGGUCACGCCUUGCGUUUAAGCGGAACGUCUCUUUAACUCUGUUCAUCUGAAACAGUCCUUGAGUCUUUGUAUUCUAUGACACUGGCAUUUUUGAAAAGUAUCUGCCAGAUAUUUUGUAAGAUGUCUAAAGUUUCCUUUUUAAAUAAAUUUAAGUUUUAAAUACGUAAGUCCACUUAAAAAACUAUCAAGCAACCCAAAGAACAAAUGGUCUACAGAUGAAGCACAAACUGUGAAGAGGUACGUGGAUUACAGUUUUGAGAAAUGUUGCCUUAAAUCAACUUCCUUCUGCCCCUGGGGCUUCACCCCACUGGGAUGGUCAGGCCUUGGGUCACUGAGUUAAGAACAGUCAAUAAAGUGGUGACACUAGGCUGUCCCAGCCUGUGUGCAGGGAGCUCACUCUCAGAGGCAGAGUCACGGUUCUUGGCCCUCUACCAGAUACUAGUGAGGGGCUGGGAGGAAAGCAUGCUUUGGGUGGGUGCACGGUACAUGCAAAUCUCAAACCUGUCUCAAAGAAAGAACAGGCAGGCCGGGUGCGGUGACUCAUGCCUGUAAUCCCAGCACCAUGGGAGGCUGAGGUGGGAGGAUCGCUUGUGCCCAGGAGUUUGAGACUAGCCUGGGCAACAUGGUGAGACCUUGUGUCAAAAGAAAGAAAAAGAGAGAGAGAGAAAAAAAAAGAGAGAGGAGGGGAAGGAAGGAAGGAGAAAGAAAGAGAGAGAAAGAGAAAGAAAGGAAGAAAAAAGAAAAAGAAAGAAAGGAAAGAAGAAAGAGAGAGAAAAAAGAAAAAGAGGGAGAGAAAGAAAGAUAAAGAAAGAGAGAGAAAGAAAGAAAGAAGGAAGGAAAGAAAGAAAGGAAGAGAAAGAAAGAAAGACAGCAGAAGGAAAGAAAAGAAUGGGAAUAAAGAAAGAAAGAACUAGCCAGGAGUGGUGGCGUGUGCCUGUAAUCCCAGGUACUUGGGAGGCUGGGGUAGGAGGAUUGAUUGAACUUGGGAGGUCAAGGCUGAGUGAGCUAUGAUCACAUCACUGCACUCCCCUCUGGGCAACAGAGCAAGACCCUGGCAAAGAAAGAAAGAAAGAGAGAGAGAGAGAGAGAGAGAGA
rnacentral:lncRNA from 1 species